UCCUUGGAGUUUCUUGAAGCAUAGCUUGC
rnacentral:piRNA from 1 species